rnacentral:rRNA from 1 species
GAUGAACGCUAGCGAUAGGCUUAACACAUGCAAGUCGAGGGGCAGCAUGAACAAAGCUUGCUUUGUUUGAUGGCGACCGGCGCACGGGUGCGUAACACGUAUGCAACUUACUCAUAAAUCGGGAAUAACCCGGAGAAAUUCGGAUUAACCCUCCAUGAGGAGCUGAGAGGGCAUCCUUUCGGUUUCAAAUAUUCAUAGGCGUUGGAUGGGCAUGCGUGCUAUUAGAUAGUUGGCGGGGUAACGGCCCACCAAGUCGACGAUAGCUAGGGGAUCUGAGAGGACGGUCCCCCACACUGGUACUGAGACACGGACCAGACUCCUACGGGAGGCAGCAGUAAGGAUAUUGGGCAAUGGAGGCAACUCUGACCCAGCCAUGCCGCGUGAAGGAUGGAGGCCCCUACGGGUCGUAAACUUCUUUUGUCAGGGAAUAAAGUCGCCUACGCGUAGGCGUUUGCAGGUACCUGAAGAUAAGCAUCGGCUAACUCCGUGCCAG